rnacentral:rRNA from 1 species
GAUGAACGCUGGCGGCGUGCUUAACACAUGCAAGUCGAACGGGGUUUGUACGACGGAAGCCUUCGGGCAGAAGAUGUACAAACCUAGUGGCGGACGGGUGAGUAACGCGUGGGUAACCUACCUUAUAUAGGGGAAUAACAGUGAGAAAUCAUUGCUAAUACCGCAUAAGACCCCAGCACCGCAUGGUGCAGCGGUAAAAGAUUUAUCGAUAUAAGAUGGACCCGCGUCCCAUUAGCUAGUUGGUGAGGUAACUGCUUACCAAGGCGACGAUGGGUAGCCGACCUGAGAGGGUGACCGGCCACAUUGGGACUGAGACACGGCCCAAACUCCUACGGGAGGCAGCAGUGGGGAAUAUUGGACAAUGGGGGCAACCCUGAUCCAGCGACGCCGCGUGAGUGAAGAAGUAUUUCGGUAUGUAAAGCUCUAUCAGCAGGGAAGAAAAUUGACGGUACCUGACUAAGAAGCCCCGGCUAACUACGUGCCAGCAGCCGCGGUAAUACGUAGGGGGCAAGCGUUAUCCGGAUUUACUGGGUGUAAAGGGAGCGUAGACGGUUAAGUAAGUCUGAAGUGAAAACCCGAGGCUCAACCACGGGACUGCUUUGGAAACUAUUUAACUAGAGUGUCGGAGAGGUAAGCGGAAUUCCUAGUGUAGCGGUGAAAUGCGUAGAUAUUAGGAGGAACACCAGCGGCGAAGGCGGCUUACUGGACGAUAACUGACGUUAAGGCUCGAAGGCGUGGGUAGCAAACAGGAUUAGAUACCCUGGUAGUCCACGCAGUAAACGAUGAAUACUAGGUGUCGGGAGGUAAUCCUUUCGGUGCCGUCGCAAACGCAAUAAGUAUUCCACCUGGGGAGUACGUUUCGCAAGAAUGAAACUCAAAGGAAUUGACGGGGAACCCGCACAAGCGGUGGAGCAUGUGGUUUAAUUCGAAGCAACGCGAAGAACCUUACCAAAUCUUGACAUGCCGAUGACAGACAAGUAAUGUUGUUUUUCCUUCGGGACAUCGGACACAGGUGGUGCAUGGUUGUCGUCAGCUCGUGUCGUGAGAUGUUGGGUUAAGUCCCGCAACGAGCGCAACCCUUGUCCUUAGUAGCUAGCAGUUUGGCUGAGCACUCUAGGGAGACUGCCAAGGAUAACUUGGAGGAAGGUGGGGACGACGUCAAAUCAUCAUGCCCCUUAUGAUUUGGGCUACACACGUGCUACAAUGGCGUAAACAAAGAGAAGCAAAAUCGCAAGGUCAAGCAAAUCUCAAAAAUAACGUCUCAGUUCGGGUUGUAGUCUGCAACUCGACUACAUGAAGCUGGAAUCGCUAGUAAUCGCAGAUCAGAACGCUGCGGUGAAUACGUUCCCGGGUCU